UACAGAGGUCUCAAGCGUUGUUCGGAUUCAUUGGGCGUAAAGGGUGCGUAGGCGGCGGGGUAAGUCUGGUGUGAAAUCCCGGGGCUCAACCUCGGAACUGCACUGGAUACUGCCUUGCUUGAGCACUGGAGAGGGAACUGGAAUUUACGGUGUAGCAGUGAAAUGCGUAGAGAUCGUAAGGAAGACCAGUGGCGAAGGCGAGUUCCUGGACAGUUGCUGACGCUGAGGCACGAAGGCCAGGGGAGCAAACGGG
rnacentral:rRNA from 1 species